rnacentral:lncRNA from 1 species
CUGGCACUGAGUACUCUGGGGACCCAACUUUUCUCUUGGAGAGCUGCAUGAGUGUGCUCCAUGCACAGGACCAAAGAGACUGUGAUCGCUUAGCUUGAGCGCUGAAGAAAUGAAGCCCACCUUGGGCUCGCCCAGGCGGCCCUGAUGCAAGCCCGGAGCGAGCCCGCCUGGUGUCUGCGCAGGCGGGAAGGGAUCCGGUUAGCCUCAUGGACCACAGCAGGACGGGUCCUCUCAAGUCAGUCUCAAGCUGUUGUCUGAAAUUCCAAACUUGAGAAAUCUCCACCGGGUGAAAGCGUGAUUUUUGAAAUCUGAACACAGCGGAGUGGAGGACAAUCGGAGGCGCGUCCCAGGAAGCAUGUGGAAGCAACGUCCGAAAGUGUAAACAGCCAGGACUUUAAAGCCAGGAAGUUAGUGUCCCUACCGGCGGCAGAAUGUGGGUAGAGUAUCUGGGACUUUUCCAUUCGCCAGCAUUUCCAAGACACCUGCAGGGAUCUCUCUCUCUCUCUCUCUCUCUCUCUCUCUCUCUCUCUCUCUCUCUCUUCUCUCUCCCUCUCUGCCUCUCUUUUUCUCUCUCUGUCUGUCUCUCUCUCUGUCUCCUCCUCCCUCCCUCCCUUUCUCCCUCCUUCCCUCCCUCUGCCUCUGUUGCAUGUCUUCCCCCCACACCCACCCUCUACUCGGGUUUGAGCCUCCCGCCUUCUUCAUUCCGGCUUUAAAGCUUAGUUAGAAAGGAGGGAAACAGGGUCAGACUAACAGGAAAUUUGGAGCAUCAGCACCCCUUGAGGUUGAGUCAUAAAUUACAGCGGUGAGCCCGCUCCAACCGCAGCCGGAACACCGGUCAAGAUGAAGGUCAACUGACCAGCAGCUUUCCCUUUGGACCCCAAACUCUUUUGGGGUUCUUCCCGCCUUCCCCGGUUUUCCUUCCAGGUAUCGGAAGUAUCCUCCCGCCCACGCUCAGGGGCACAACCCUCCACCCAGUAAUUCUUGACCUUUGCACCGAGGCAUAGAAAACCUGCAUCCACCGAGAAGUAACCUGCGCCGGGAUGAGGGAGGGAGCGAGCGAGGGAGGGAGGUCCUGGUCCGAGUUUCCCCCAAAGUAAAACAAGGAAUACGGGGAUUGCUGACGCGCUUUUUUAUACCUUUCCUUUUUAUCUAGAAAACCAGACUGUUUAGCGACGAAUACAUAUUUCCAACCACGAAUCUUUUUGGGUUUGUGCCGAGUUUUACUCGUCCGGUUCAGUUUGUCUGUUUAAGUGAAUGUUUUUGUUUAUAGCAAGAGCUGAGGACAAGCGAACUUGGGCGACCCGGCAGACUCCUCCACUCACCCCCAGCCGCUCUUUCAGCCUCGCGCCGGCGAACGGCCCUGUGCCCGCGCAAAAGCGCGCAGGGCCCGGGUGGGGAGUGUAAACAAGCCGGCCGGGUUCCCAGACCUUGAUCUUUAUUUAAAUGGAGGCUUGUUUAUCGGUGUCAUCCUAGGAGGAUUAAUUAGAUACAUCUCUUCACAAUUUGGUGUCUGACACUCCAUCUUAGGAAUGCCUUAUCACAAGGUGUUAAUUGGGGCCACUCAGCCAUUUACGUUUCUAUUAAACACUGUGAGGGACUUUUCACAAGUACCGGAUUCUUUUUACUGUACGGUGCAAAAAUAUACAAGACUUGAAAUAGAC